UCUGGCUCGGUACAAUUCUCUGGCACGGCAACAAUCCUUGUCGGUGCUGAAUGGCACAAAAUUUCUCGAUCUGGGCAAACGUCUCCAAAGUGAAUAUUGUUUGGCCAGAAAGAGGGCCAAAUCUUAUGGCCAUACAGAUAUGGAAGAUGUAUUAUUCAACCCUUGUCCUAAUUGCCAGAGGAGGAUCCUUGUCUUCCCAAAACAUCUUCCGAGCGGAUCAAAUUCCCUUUCCAAUACCACUUCCGAAGCUUUUGGCAAUGACUCAAACAAUGGUGGCGGGCAGGAACUCAAUAGUGAUGGUGGUCGAUCGAAAAUCGUUGAACAAAAGGUGAAGGAAAUGUGGUUGGCUGAUCACUUAUUAGAUCAGCAUGUUGCUGAGCUCUUUUCAGCGCCCAAAUUGCGUGAAGAUGUAUGGUAUGACUUCCUGUUAGAUGAUACCAUACCAAUCACUCGAAAAUCCCGAUUGUUGAUUGUAAAGUUUUGUGGUGGUGCUAGUACCACUAGGCAGUAGAUGAUGAUGCUUGCCAAGGAUGCUGCUGCUGAUGCUUGGUUGGGAUGUUUCUGCUCAGAUGCUGCUGCUGCUGAUGUUAUAUGUAUUUUAUGAGGAUUUUUUUUUAAUGCGGAUUUGUUUGAUGCUAAUGUUAUAUGUAUUUUAUGAGGAUUUUUUUAAUGCGGAUUUGUUUGAUGCUGAUGUUAUGGAUUUGUUUUAUGAAGAUUUGUUUAAUGCGGAUUUUGCCAAGGAUUUUUUUUUUUAUGAGGAUUUUAUGUAGAAAGCACAAGGUGGAACUCAAUUCACAGCUUGUCUCUGAGCUUUA